UUUCCUUUCUCUAUUUCCUAGACCGUAGAUCAAAACAAGUAGAGUAAUAGCAAGAACACAAUUUACACAUGCAAGAGGGGAGAAACCUUCUCCAAUCGUACCUCAAUCAUCCAACCUUGUCAGCCGCAAAGAACUUGAUUGCUGAGAAGAUGGAGUUGUUGACGACAAUGACGACAAUCCGCCAUUGUCCACCGUUGUGUUGCUGUGAGAUGUGGUAAGCUGUAACCCCUUUAAUCUCUCUGGUCGAGAAUCGCAGCGCAAUUUCUGGGAACGCAGGGCAGAAAAGCAUCAAAGGAUCAGGUUAGCAAGUGGAGAGGCGCAGAAAUAAUGCAACCUCCGGUGUCAUUGUGGCUCCACGCCAGAGGAGCCACUGUUGAACGCCAGAGGAUCAGCUAGGACAAUGAAGCCAUAAAAAUGCUAAUGGCAAACUGGCAGCUGUUGUGGAAUUCAAACCUGAAAGAAGAUUUCCAGUGUGGUCUCCAAAUACCGCUGCUAUAGCACCUGUAGAGUGCGCUUCAACAAACACUGCAUCAAUAUUGCACUUAACCCAUCCUGUCAGAGGCGGUCUCCAAUUACCUUCAGUCCAUCUAACUGUAACUCAUUCAACAUUGUUUUCGUAAUAAAAGGUUAGACCUCUUUAUUAUCCAUGACUUGUAUAUAGUCCUCUUGCCCCCUCACUUCUACUACUUUGAAUUAUUAUUUAAAUUGUGGGCCUCUUUUUUUACUGGCUUAUGUUUGGACUUUGUAGGAAUAAUUAAUUGCACUCACCUUUUUUUUUAUGAUACAAAAUUGAU